AUUGAACGCUGGCGGCAUGCCUUACACAUGCAAGUCGAACGGCAGCACGGGAGCAAUCCUGGUGGCGAGUGGCGAACGGGUGAGUAAAGUAUCGGAACGUGCCCAGUCGUGGGGGAUAACGUAGCGAAAGUUACGCUAAUACCGCAUACGAUCUAUGGAUGAAAGCGGGGGAUCGCAAGACCUCGCGCGAUUGGAGCGGCCGAUAUCAGAUUAGGUAGUUGGUGGGGUAAAGGCUCACCAAGCCGACGAUCUGUAGCUGGUCUGAGAGGACGACCAGCCACACGAGGACUGAGACACGGCCCAGACUCCUAGGGGAGGCAGCAGUGGGGAAUUUUGGACAAUGGGCGCAAGCCUGAUCCAGCCAUGCCGCGUGCAGGAUGAAGGCCUUCGGGUUGUAAACUGCUUUUGUACGGAACGAAAAGGUUUGGCUUAAUACGUUGAACUCAUGACGGUACCGUAAGAAUAAGCACCGGCUAACUACGUGCCAGCCGCCGCAGUAA
rnacentral:rRNA from 1 species